rnacentral:sRNA from 1 species
UACUUUUUCUGGAACAAAUAAACUUAGCAUAAAUAGUUAAAAUAUUAAGAGUUGUAAUUAAGGGAAAUUUCAGCUCAAUGUGACUUCAACAGUUUAAAAAAUGUAUUACUGCACAUAAGACCAUGGAGAGAGGAAUUGGGAGACCCAGAAUUGAUUGGGUCAGAAAUUGAAAAUGAUAUUAUCAGUGACCCAGGUUUGAAUGUCUCUCUUCACAGCAUUGACUUCACUAAUGGAUGUGACCUGGUUGGCAGCAGCAGCUUGGACAACAUGCUUGUUUGCAGUGGGUGGUAGAGAGAGGCAGGUUUUGCUUUCCCAGAAACCCUGAAAAAGGUAAUCAAACCUAAAUUUCCUUAGCCUUCUUCUUCCAUGAGCAAAUCACUAGCAGAUGAUUGCUAGCAAGGUGUUACUAUUACAAUGAACCCCUAAGUGUCAGAGAAAGAGUUAGUUUGGGGAAAUAUCCUCUCCACCACAAUCUUAGUUAUUUAAGUCAAUUUAACAAUAUAUUGAAAUAUUUUUCUUAGAAGUUUGAAGUUCCAUUAAACAGUAACAAUUACAGAAAUUAUAGGUAGCCUUUAGUUCUACAAGUGACAUCUCAAGAGGAAGAUGAUUCAUCAAUUUCAAACUUUCCUUGCAAGUAAUACUGGAUGAAAAUUAACUUGGCAAACAUAAUUAAUAAUCAUGGGUUAUUAAUUACUUCCGCAAGGUGGGUGUGCUGAUUUUAAAAGGCUUGAAUAAAACAUAAAUUUCCUUAAUUUGAUACUGUAAAUGGAAUAAUUUGGUAACGUAAAUGGUAAUAUUUAAGUGAUUUUUGCGUCAGAUCUUACAACUUAAAAUAUUUUUCUAAAAUUAGUUUUUGUACCAUCUCUCCAGCAUGUUCCAGCCUAUAUCAGUCAGUCCAGGCUUCUAUAACUAAAUAUUAUGGACUGAAUGGCUUACACAACAGACAUUUCUCACAAUUGUAGAAGCUGGAAAGUGCAAGAUUAAGGUACUAGCAAAUUUGUUUCCUGGUGAGGGUCCUCUUCCCAGCUUGCUGUAUCCUCAUAUAGCAGAUAGAGAGAGAAGGAGAGAGAGAGAGAGCACUGUAUAGACUCUCUUCCUGUUCUUAUAAGGACACUAAUUCCAUUGAUGAGGGCCCUAUGCUCAUGACUUUGUCUAAACCUAAUUAAUUCUCAAAGGCCUCACUUUCCAAUACUGUCCCAUUGUGGGGUAGGGCUUUAACAUACGAAAUUUGAAGGAAAAGGAAUAUUCAGUCUAGAACAAAGCCCCAUAAAUUUCAAAAAGCUGUGGGACAGGAGGGAAUGGGGAUGGUAUUCAAUGGUACCACAUCCAAGCAAGUCUUGUAUGGUUAAAACAAAUCAAUAUAAUAACAUGAAAUUUUACACAGAAACCUAUCUGAUUAUAAAUUGUAUGCUUACCAUAAUCAACACUGUUAUACAUUGUUUUAAAAAUACUUAAUAGUGUUCUUUGUUUAACCAAAUAAUAGAGGCAUUAACUGGUUUCCCAGUGCUGCCAAAAGAAAUUGCACAAAAUUUGUGGCUUAAAAUAGUAAAUAAACAAACAAAAAAUUCU